rnacentral:rRNA from 1 species
GACGAACGCUGGCGGCGUGCUUAACACAUGCAAGUCGAACGGAAAGGCCCUGCUUUUGUGGGGUGCUCGAGUGGCGAACGGGUGAGUAACACGUGAGUAACCUGCCCUUGACUUUGGGAUAACUUCAGGAAACUGGGGCUAAUACCGGAUAGGAGCUCCUGCUGCAUGGUGGGGGUUGGAAAGUUUCGGCGGUUGGGGAUGGACUCGCGGCUUAUCAGCUUGUUGGUGGGGUAGUGGCUUACCAAGGCUUUGACGGGUAGCCGGCCUGAGAGGGUGACCGGCCACAAUGGGACUGAGAGACGGCCCAGACUGCUACGGGAGGCAGCAGGGGGGAAUAUUGCACAAUGGGGGGAAGUCUGAUGCAGCAGCGCCGCGUGCGGGAUAACGGCCUUCGGGUUGUAAACCGCUUUCGCCUGUGACGAAGCGUGAGUGACGGUAAUGGAUAAAGAAGCACCGGCUAACUACGUG